rnacentral:sRNA from 1 species
ACGUAGGUGGCGUAGUAUUCUAGUCGGCCGACCUGGUCUUGAGGACGGGCCUAAAAAUCCGUCAAAGGGCACAUCGAUGAAGUUUCUUGUAUGGGCUUUCGACGCCCAGUCGGGGGUCUAUGCAGGGAGUAAGAGAUGGGGGCGAUCUGCAAAGGCAUGCGGGCGUGGACCCUCAUCUCGCGGAGACCCGAGAUCUAAGACAAGGACAUUGCUAGUCUGUCUUAAGAUCCGGGGGUAACCUAUCUCGGGUAAAUGGGAUAGUGUAGUCUGCCGUGAAGUGGUAUUGGGAGAGAGUAUCACUUGAAACCAAUACUGCAAAAGAGGCUAUAGGUCAGGAACGCUGUUGGGGAAAGCCCCUAGACUACUCGCUUAGAGGAGAUAUACCGGGGAUUACGGUGCAGUCUUAAUGGUGAUCCAGUUUAGUCGCGGGCGACCCGGUUAAUCGUGAUUUCAAAGGAAACUGCUGAGCCGGCGACGGCUUAGUAUUACGAUGGGAAAUCCUACUGGACCUCAAGCUGCAAAAUUUACUCGGUAUAUCGCCACCUACGA